rnacentral:rRNA from 1 species
UACGGAGGGUGCGAGCGUUGUCCGGAAUCACUGGGCGUAAAGGGCGCGUAGGCGGCCUGAUAAGUAGGGGGUGAAAUCCUGCGGCUUAACCGCAGGGCUGCCUUCUAAACUGUCAGGCUAGAGCACAGUAGAGGCAGGUGGAAUUCCCGGUGUAGCGGUGGAAUGCGUAGAGAUCGGGAAGAACAUCAGUGGCGAAGGCGGCCUGCUGGGCUGUUGCUGACGCUGAGGCACGAAAGUGUGGGGAUCAAACAGG